UCAACCCAUUUAACCUUCUAACCCAUCAAAUUAAAUGAGUUCAUGGGUUGACUCAACUCAUUUGCUUAAAUGAGUUGAGUCAACCCAUGAACUCAUUUAACUCUAAACUUAUUGGGUAAUGAGU